GGCUAGGCAAAAAAGCUAAAGGAAAAGAGUAAUCUGCUUAAGGAGGAAAAUAAAUAAACAGUGGCGGUUUCUACUCUCUGCAAAGAAGCAUGUUGGUAGGAAUGAAUCUGCACAAAUGACCCAUCUCUUGCUGGAAGUAAGGUUGACAUUCGGUACACUGCUAUCUGAAAGAGUAACCUAUAGGUUAAUUCUCUGUAUCCAACCAACUACGUGGGGUAAGGUAAGUAAAGGUGCCGAUAAUGCAGGAGAAUCGAUGUGCCUCAGUGUAAUAAGAAUGGAGGGUGUGUGAAAUCCUAGCCUGAAAUAGAAUUUGCUAGUAAAGUGGGUAGAAAGGAACCUCCUUGAAUAGGGAAAAGGGGAACGU
rnacentral:rRNA from 1 species